UAGAAGAUCUGUCUUCUAUAGAAUGUAGAGUCUGCAGCAAUAAGAGUUAAUACUUAAAGUUCCAUAACAUUAACAUAUUUAAACUUUUGCAAAUAGGAUUUUUUUAAAUAGAAUUAAAACCAUAACUGUCUCUUUAAGGACACCAAACACUGAAUUGAAGUGAGAACCAAAAUUGCAAAAUUUAGGCUGAAGCAACUGAUUGGGAAAGAUUCUUCAACUCAGCUAUAGUUACAGUUUGACUUUUUUAGCAUAAAUUGUACAAUUUAGCAUAUAGUUUACUGCAAUUUGAUGUUUAAUAAUUAAACUGUUUACUUUUUGAUAGAUCCAUUUUUGAUGCAGAAGGUUAGGGCUUGUUGAAAGGGUUAAUGGUAGGAGAACACUCAACCUCUAAGUAUCUAGAGAGAUGGCUGACAUCCAAAACUUUGUUAUCGAUAAUUUUUUCAAGUCCAAAAUAAAUAAUUCGGAAGCCAAACCCAGUCCGGUAUCUUUAUUUUCUGUCCCAACUUUAACACCUUAAGGUGUGACCAUGCACUAGCACUAAAACUGCAAACAUUGUCAUUUACAUUGUAAUGUAUCUAGUAUGGUGUGUUUGUAUUAUGUCAGUUCUGACACUGUUUCUGGAAAAUCAUUAGUUUCUACCUCCCAGGCAUCCCUAGCUGCAGAGCCUUUAAAUAUUGCUGAGAUGAUGAGAGUUUAAACAAACAGCCCAGUUUCAUUUGCUUUUAAGAUUGAUGCUAAUCAAACAUAAUGAUUUCAGUAUAUUUUGGUACUUUAAAUGGACAUUAUUCAAAGUCAAGUCAGCUGUAAUAAGUACUUAGGAUCCUUUGUUUAAGAUAACGUAUUAAUGCACUGAGAAUUGUUUUUUUAUGGUAGAUGUGGAAAAUAAGCUGUAGGGCGAUGCAAGUGGAAUGGCUUACUGUCUUCUAAUGAAAAUUGAUCUACUGGAUCAGUGGACCCAUUGGUAAAUGAAAUGCCUUCCUGACCGAUAACCACAAUCUAUUCAUCUCUGUGAACUGGGAAGGCUGAACGUUGCUUGGGAAGAUGCAAUAUAUUAAAAUCCCAUUAGCUGGUGGCCAAGAAGGCUGCAAAAGGAUGGCAGUAUGACUUGUCCAUGAUCUGUUGAAUCAGAUGGGCAAAUAGGUCAACUAGAUUUGUGCGAAAAUUUUGAAAUUUUGUCCCCUUGAGCCUCUCACUUCGGGUUCUUAUGCCGAUGAUCAAGCAUACAGCUCCACUAACUUGUGAUCAACAUUUAGACUAGUGGUUCAGUUGGGCAGAUUGUGGAAUUGCUUGCUCCCUUGGUUUGAAAUAUAUUUCUGAUCUGCUAGAUGAUCUGCAUCUGAUGAGUGUGCGUGACAUCAUCAUCGAUGCACAGCAUCAGCUGGACAGAUUUGAACUGGAACGCUCAACUAGUUUCAGAUCAAUCCCUGAGCUACUGGAUUGGCUGGGACUAGCUGAGCAUGUUACAAGAUACAUUGUCCAUUCCAUCAACUUGCACCAACAUCUGAUCUAUAGUAAUUGGCAGUUUUGUUAAAUAGUACUUAAACUCUGAUGAUGAAUCUCAUGGCAUGUGGUUUUAUAGACUCCCAUAUGCUACAUGACCGCUAGCUUGUAGAGGGAAUUCAAUUUAGUUAGGAAGAUCUGAGCUAUAGCCUUUUAUAAUAUAUUCUUGUCUUACAUAUUGUCAACUUGAGAAAAUGUCAAUUUAAUUGCGAAACAUGUUGACAAACUGAUCUCUUCUACGUCACUCUAGAAAUCAGAUACCAAAGUUGUCGUGUUCAGAGAAAACAUAUGGAAAUGUUUGUGUUCUAUCACAACCUAAUUAGUGGUUGGCAAAUAAUAAUGUUUUAACUUGGCCAUUUGAUUUAAAAAACACAAUAUUAUAUAUGUAUAUAUAUAUAUACUCACACACAGUUUUAUCCUCAUUGACCUUGAUAUAAUUCUUCUGGAUCAGCAUCAGAAAUUAUUCCAAUCUGUUAGAAAAAAACGUUUCAAAUUAUUUAUCAACAUAAAAUCCCAUAGACCUUAAUGAUGAUUUCUGUAGAUAAUUAAUUUCUGGAAUCAUUUCUGAUGCUGAUUGAAACAAAUUGAAUUCAAGCCAUAGUCAGUAAUAGGCAUGCACUAUAGAUAUAAGGAAUCGCAGCAAUUUAUAAAACAAACAUUUUGUUUCCUGCUUGGAACACUUAUUUUGUCUAGCCUGGUCCACUGUUUUGUUGAAUCUUAAAUACUACCUUGUAUCAGUAUGUCAUUGCUAAACCCAUUUGGUACAUCAUUUCUGUUUUCUGCUUUUAUCAAUGUUGAAAUGCCAAAGACUUGUGAAGGUAAUCGAUUGUGUUGUAUCAGCUUGGAUCAGCAAUAGAGAUUGUAUUUGAGCCAUAUUUUGGCCAAGAACGUACUUUCUGAAUGUAAUUCAAUGAGUAAAUAGCUGAAUUCUAUGUAUGUGUGUCAUGUCCAUUGGGCAACAUGUAGUUGCUAGUUUCAAAGAGUCACAUUUACGUCUACAUCUAGGUUUUCCAACUUAGAGUGCUUAAGAAACAUAAAAUUAUAGUUUUUAUAUACAAAUUUACAUAAUUCUCCAUAUUCAAAUAGACUAGAAAACAAAUCUACUAAAAUGUUUAUGUGAAUCCAUCACAACAUAAUAUGCAGUAAUGCAGACAAAACACGUUUUUGUUUGUAUGUUAUUUUUUCCGAACACGUGAGGGAAGAUUGAUGAAAGUGUUGCUAGUAGAAGAUGUAAUUUGACAUCCCCCCAAUUGAUUGUUUGAGUAGAUUUUUUUUAUGUGUUACAGACACACACACACACAUUGAUAUACACAUAUACACAUACCCAAAUUCCUGUACACACACACACAUGCAUAUUCACUCACACUUAUAUGCAAAAACAUAUAUUCACACAAUCACAUUCAUAAACACACUUAUGUUUAUACACACACAAAUAUUUAUUCCUGGUGUCUAGUUUUAGGCUGCUGGGAUGAGUCUGCGCUCUGAUUGCACAGCCACCUGCAGCUCUGUACUGACCCCGGGUCAUGUUACGUACAGGUACUUGGCAUUAGCACAGGGCUGCGAGGGAGCUGUGCAGUCAGAGCACAGACUGAUCCCAGGAGUUCCUCUGUCACCCACUCUCUGCCUCAUUCUGAAUGUGAAGUGCUGGCACUGGCCACACAAUUCCGCUGCUGGUAUGCAGGUGCCUGCUCUGCUGACAGUGGGAUGUUUGGAGCACCCUGUGCCCCUACUGUUUAUAACAAUUGGAUUAUGAGGAAAAAAAGUGUAAACAAAGUUUUCCUGCAUGCAUAUUACACAUUGUUGUGUCCAGAAAAUUUCAGAGGAAGCAUUGAAUUCAGUAUAGAACCACUGGCAGUCAGAAUAGGUUUUCUUUAGAUGUGCUACCAUGUUGCUUAGCUAUAAAGACUAAUCUAAUUUCAAAGAUUCUGCUGCAAAAAUAUAUAGGACACAGAAAUACAAGUAUGCAAAACAAGAAUUUUCAUACAUCUCCGAUAGAGGCAGAAAUAUGUCUUAUUUCAUGAGCAAAUACAUAACUUUAACAACUUUUUUUAUCUGAAAUUAACCAAUCACGGUUUUAUUCACUUCCAUCCAGUACACAUCUGAAAUAUUUAUUCCUCAUUCAAACAUUUUCCUAAAUCUAAACAACAGAAGGGUUUAUCCCUAACACAAUAAACACACUUUAAAAACAGUAACUACAGUUAUGAUAACACACACACAUAUACACAUAAACACACACACCUUCAGCGGAAUCACUGGCACAGCAUGUAACGUGCCAGCAUCUGUUUCAGCAAUCACCAAUGUACAAUUCUUUAGUUGACAAUGAACAUUGGAACAUACAGUGGGUGACGUUGAGAAAGGUUAAAAAGGCACAAAAAUGCACCUUCCACUUUAGGCAGAUCUUGUUAGAAGCAAGCCAAUCCUGCCAAAAUAAUGUGACGUGCUAAUUCUUUUCCUGGAGCAGAUCUGCAAUGGUAGACCAGUUAAUAAAUAUAUACACACUCAAAAAUAGGCCCUGCACUCAAGCUCCCAUUACUCUUGGGCAGCUAUGCUAUCCAUCAUCCCAAAUACAUAAAAUAAAAGUUAAAAAUGUUACCUGCGCUCUAUCCCAAAUCCCUAUGCAAUUAUAAAUAACAGGAGGUUUUCAGUACCACUCCAGGUUAAUAUAUAUCAGAAUUAAUAUAUUAUUAGCUGUAGCGCCAUAUUUUUUUGACAAACGUUCGAACAUUUACUUCAUUUCUUAUUAUUUCGUUCGUUUAUGUAAAAUAUCUAUUGCUCAAACACUUGAACAAGAAAAGGAAGUGUUAUUUUUGUAAUCUACAUGAAAGGAAAUAAUAAAUUUAUGUUAUGAUUGUAUUGAUCUCUUGGAAGGGUAAGGAACUGCUUUUUAUAUUGAAUAUUUUAAACAUUAACUUCUAACCAAAAAAAAAAAAAAUUACAAAAAAAUAUCAGUUUUAAAAAUGUAAUAUAUUUAAUGUUAUAUGAACCUUUAACUAAUGUCUUGAAAUUAGAAUUCUUAUUUUUUACAAGGCAAGAAUCAAUGCAAAUAACGUUUGAUCAGCGUGCAACGAUGUGCAACAAUGUAUAUUGUGAAAGUGGGCUAUUUACUGCUCGUGUCAAUGUAUGUACCAGUGCAUUGCACUAUUUCAUUGGGGGAACAUUGUAUAGUGGACUCUCGCACGCUGUUUUAGAAUUGCACUGCUGUAGACAUGAAUCGGUAACUAACUUGCUGUCUCCAUUCUUUGGAACAAUAUAUUGUAGACAAACUAUUAGGAUAUGGGGCAUUUUAGCAAAAUGUUAGAUCGUGGACACUCCUUAUUCUGUGAAAUAGCAUAGGGCGUGUUUCUGUGUAUUUAAGCAUUAUAGCAACAUUUAAAAUGCAUUUUUCUCUACGUUAGUGUCAAUG
rnacentral:lncRNA from 1 species